rnacentral:siRNA from 1 species
UAGGUUUCAUCGAAUCUUUGGG